GACAGAGGGUGCAAACGUUGUUCGGAAUUACUGGGCGUAAAGCGCGUGUAGGCGGCUACGCAAGUCGGGUGUGAAAGCCCUCGGCUCAACUGAGGAAGUGCAUUCGAAACUGCGUAGCUUGAGUCUCGGAGAGGAUGGUGGAAUUCUCGGUGUAGAGGUGAAAUUCGUAGAUAUCGAGAGGAACACCGGUGGCGAAGGCGGCCAUCUGGACGAUGACUGACGCUGAGACGCGAAAGCAUGGGGAG
rnacentral:rRNA from 1 species